rnacentral:lncRNA from 1 species
CCCUCUAAUAAGAAUAUUUCUAUCCCAGCCCUUCCCAACGCGUGAAAUAUGCGCGAAUACACCUUCACAAACAAAUUCACGCGAAACGGCACAUAAAAUAUCGCACUUUUUGCGAAAAUACCCAAUUGCCAACACCGACCUCUCCUCGAUCAACGCAGAUCCGUCCGUCAGAUUUGCGAACGGAUUGUACCAGUGCGAUCAGCACCUCGGAGACAACAAAGCUACGAUUUUGUUUCACCACGAUCGACCACGGAUUCACGACAAAAUCCAAACUUUCUUUCCAAUAGAAGGAAUAACACAUAAAUACAUAUAAAACACGUAUUUUCGGAUUUUCUCAAAAUUCGUGCAUCAAACUCAAAAUCCGUCAGCGCCAGUAGUUCCAGAAUAGCUGAACCGGUCGAAACGAGCUAUUGGAUCGCUAUGAA